rnacentral:sRNA from 1 species
AUGCCGCGGCGGGCCUGUGGGAGCACGGUCACCUUCUCUCUGCUGCUGUAGCUGCCAUGGGCAAAAGAGACCGAGCGGACCGCGACAAGAAGAAAUCCAGGAAGCGGCACUAUGAGGAUGAAGAGGAUGAUGAAGAGGACGCCCCGGGGAACGACCCUCAGGAAGCGGUUCCUUCGGCGGCGGGGAAGCAGGUGGAUGAGUCAGGCACCAAAGUGGAUGAAUAUGGAGCCAAGGACUACAGGCUGCAAAUGCCGCUGAAGGACGACCACACCUCCAGGCCCCUCUGGGUGCUGUCAGCGUUGGGCUGCAAACCAGUGACAUCACCGAGUACCUCAGGAAGCUCAGCAAGACUGGAGUCCCUGAUGGAAUUAUGCAGUUUAUUAAGUUGUGUACUGUCAGCUAUGGAAAAGUCAAGCUGGUCUUGAAGCACAACAGGUAAGAGAUUCCGUGACAGGCCUGUCCCAAGGCACUGUCACUCUCUGUGCACCAGCAGGAAUAAAGGGAUAUGGGAAGGACCUGAUGUUUAUGCUGUCUUUUCUGUGAAGCACAGAUAAGAGGAGAGAAACAAGAGAUGUGGCCCAGACUGGAAACUCGUCCACUGGCCACUGUAUUUCCUCUAGCAGUGGAACUGGGCUCAGGCCCCUGCCUACUUGACCUCAAAGUGGGGCUUUGCCCACAACCCUCAUAUGUUAAAUCAUGGCCGGCAGCUCAUGGUACAGAUUUGGCGAAGGGUUGUGGGGAGAGUCAUGAGGCUUGUAUUUCCAGACCAUCUAAUUGAAUGAGCAGUGGAAUCUCCAGGAGGUACCUGCUGGUCAGUAGACCCCUUCUUCCUCCCCUGCUUGCAGAUACUUCGUUGAAAGUUCCCACCCUGAUGUAAUCCAGCAUCUUCUCCAGGACCCCGUGAUCCGAGAAUGCCGCUUAAGAAACUCUGAAGGGGAGGCCACUGAGCUCAUCACAGAGACUUUCACAAGCAA